GACGAACGCUGGCGGCGUGCCUAAUACAUGCAAGUCGAACGCAGUGGGGACGGGUGAGUAACACGUGGGUAACCUCCCAUCAGAGGGGAUAACACUUGGAAACAGGUGCUAAACCGAUAUUGAUGGAUGGAUCCGGGGUGCAUUAGCUAGUUGGUGAGGAAACGGCUCACCAAGGCAACGAUGCAUAGCCGACCUGAGAGGUUGAUCGGCCACACGGGGACGGAGACACGGCCCAGACUCCUACGGGAGGCAGCAGUGGGGAAUAUUGCACAAUGGGCGCAAGCCUGAUGCAGCCAUGCCGCGUGUAUGAAGAAGGCCUUCGGGUUGUAAAGUACUUUCAGCGGGGAGGCGUUACUCGCAGAAGAAGCACCGGCUAACUCCGUGCCAGCAGCCGCGGUAAUUC
rnacentral:rRNA from 1 species